GUCAAUCCCUCGCUCAGUGGCGUUGACGAUAACUUAAAGCUGUUUUAGCUGCUUCUAAUGGAGCACAAGUUAUAUGGAAAAACUUUUAUUAAUGUUUUAACUAAAUGAUGUCGCGAGGAAAAGAAGAGGAGUUCAAAUUCUGCCGUCACUCUCUCUCAAAGAUAUAAAUGCUCCCGCGCUUUUCUUCCGAAGUAACGUUAGCUAACGUGGACAAACAUUUGCUGCCAAUUAACGUUAGCCCGGCCCCGGCCCUAGUAGCCAGGAAGCGCCCACUACCACCACCGCCAGCUGUGGAGGACGCAGUAUAGUAAUGUGCAUCAUGGCCGCAUCAAUAACGGCGGAGCGGUUCCCGGAUGUUCACCCUUCUGUCCAUUCUCCAAAGUUGACUCCACUUUUGCAGAGCAUUAGCGCUGCGUGAAGGUUCUUCUAAACACUGGCAUCAUUGCUGCUGACACACCCUGAACCAUUGGGCUACGAGCGUCUUGCAGUUAUCAAAGGUUUCCGAGAUGUUCUUGGAGCUUUUCUCACCACCGUCCACAAUCUGUUUAAAGUUCCUCCAGCCGCCUUUAUUUUUUAUAGGACAGCUGAAAACAUGAAUGGG